GAUGAACGCUAGCGAUAGGCUUAACACAUGCAAGUCGAGGGGCAGCACAAGGUAGCUUGCUAUCUGGGUGGCGACCGGCGCACGGGUGCGUAACGCGUAUGCAACUUGCCCUAUACAGGAGGAUAACCCGUCGAAAGACGGACUAAUACUGCGUAUGCUCACAACUUGGCAUCAAGUGGUGAGGAAAGAAAUUCGGUAUAGGAUAGGCAUGCGUCCCAUUAGCUUGUUGGUGAGGUAACGGCUCACCAAGGCAACGAUGGGUAGGGGAACUGAGAGGUUGAUCCCCCACACUGGUACUGAGACACGGACCAGACUCGUACGGGAGGGAGCAGUGAGGAAUAUGGGUCAAGGGGCGCGAGCCUGAACCCGCCAAGUCGCGUGAAGGAUGACUGGCUUAUGGAUGGUAAGCUUCUUUUAUACGGGAAUAACAAGAGUCACGGGUGACUCCCUGCAUGUACCGUAUGAAUAAGCAUCGGCUAACUCCGUG
rnacentral:rRNA from 1 species